rnacentral:rRNA from 1 species
CGGACGGGUGAGUAACGCGUGGGUAACCCUGCCUUGCGACUCGGGGGAUAACACUUAGAAAUAGGUGCUAAUACCGCAUAAGCGCACGGUCCUGCAUGGGACAGUGUGAAAAACUCCGGUGGUGCAAGAUGGACCCGCGUCUGAUUAGCUGGUUGGCGGGGUAAAGGCCCACCAAGGCGACGAUCAGUAGCCGGCCUGAGAGGGUGGACGGCCACAUUGGGACUGAGACACGGCCCAAACUCCUACGGGAGGCAGCAG